rnacentral:rRNA from 1 species
AGAGUUUGAUUCUGGCUCAGAACGAACGCUGGCGGCGUGGAUAAGACAUGCAAGUCGAACGGGAUUACUUUUGUAGCAAUACAGGAGUAAUUCAGUGGCGAACGGGUGCGUAACACGUGGGCAAUCUGCCGAAAAGUGGGGGAUAGCUCGCCGAAAGGCGAAUUAAUACCGCAUGUGGUGAGGGGGGACAUCUUCCUGAAUCCAAAGCCGGGGCAACCUGGCGCUUUUUGAGGAGCCCGCGGCCUAUCAGCUAGUUGGUGAGGUAACGGCUCACCAAGGCUUUGACGGGUAGCUGGUCUGAGAGGACGACCAGUCACACUGGAACUGAGACACGGUCCAGACACCUACGGGUGGCAGCAGUCGAGAAUUUUUCUCAAUGGGGGAAACCCUGAAGGAGCGACGCCGCGUGGAGGAUGAAGGCUUUCGGGUUGUAAACUCCUGUCAUUUGGGAACAAGGUGCACACGUUAACUGCGUGAGUAUUGAUAGUACCAGAAGAGGAAGGGACGGCUAACUCUGUGCCAGCAGCCGCGGUAAUACAGAGGUCCCAAGCGUUGUUCGGAUUCAUUGGGCGUAAAGGGUGCGUAGGUGGCGCUGUAAGUCGGGUGUGAAAUUUCGAGGCUUAACCUCGAAACUGCAUUCGAUACUGCGGUGCUUGAGGACUGGAGAGGAGACUGGAAUUCAUGGUGUAGCAGUGAAAUGCGUAGAGAUCAUGAGGAAGACCAGUGGCGAAGGCGGGUCUCUGGACAGUUCCUGACACUGAGGCACGAAGGCCAGGGGAGCAAACGGGAUUAGAUACCCCGGUAGUCCUGGCAGUAAACGGUGCACGUUUGGUGUGGGGGGAUUCGACCCCUUCCGCGCCGGAGCUAACGCGUUAAACGUGCCGCCUGGGGAGUACGGUCGCAAGAUUAAAACUCAAAGAAAUUGACGGGGGCCCGCACAAGCGGUGGAGUAUGUGGCUUAAUUCGAUGCAACGCGAAGAACCUUACCAGGCCUUGACAUGCAUUUCUA